UGUGUUGAAACAUUGGUUCCCAUACAAUCCCAGAUGUUAAGCAAUGUCGAGCUUGGUCAGUACCUAGAUGGGUGACUGCUUGGGAAUACCAGGUGAUGUAAG
rnacentral:rRNA from 1 species